rnacentral:rRNA from 1 species
AACGAACGCUGGCGGCAUGCCUAACACAUGCAAGUCGAACGAGACCUUCGGGUCUAGUGGCGCACGGGUGCGUAACGCGUGGGAAUCUGCCCUUGGGUUCGGAAUAACAGCGAGAAAUUGCUGCUAAUACCGGAUGAUGACGUAAGUCCAAAGAUUUAUCGCCCAAGGAUGAGCCCGCGUAGGAUUAGCUAGUUGGUGAGGUAAAGGCUCACCAAGGCGACGAUCCUUAGCUGGUCUGAGAGGAUGAUCAGCCACACUGGGACUGAGACACGGCCCAGACUCCUACGGGAGGCAGCAGUGGGGAAUAUUGGACAAUGGGCGAAAGCCUGAUCCAGCAAUGCCGCGUGAGUGAUGAAGGCCUUAGGGUUGUAAAGCUCUUUUACCCGGGAUGACAAUGACAGUACCGGGAGAAUAAGCUCCGGCUAACUCCGUGCCAGCAGCCGCGGUAAU